rnacentral:rRNA from 1 species
CGGUGAAUACGUUCCCGGACCUUGUACACACCGCCCGUCAAGCCAUGGAAGCCGGGUGUACCUAAAGUCGAUAACCGUAAGGAGUCGCCUAGGGUAAAACUGGUGACUGGGGCU